rfam:TPA: Bos taurus chromosome 25, whole genome shotgun sequence.
UCCCUGGUGGCUCAGACGGUAAAGCGUCUGCCUGCAAUGCGGGAGACCCAGGUUCGUUUCCUGGGUCGGGAA